UUUCGCAAUGCCCGAAAGGGUGACGAAGCGACGCCGCGUGUGGGAAGAAGGCCUUCGGGUUGUAAACCACUGUCGGGAGUUAAGAAAGGUGUACGGGUAAAUAGUCCGUGCAUUUGACAAAAGCUCCGGAGGAAGCCACGGCUAACUCUGUGCCAGCAGCCGCGGUAAUACAGAGGUGGCAAGUGUUGUUCGGAAUUAUUGGGCGUAAAGAGCACGUAGGCGGCCCUGCAAGUCAGCUGUGAAAGCCUCCUGCUUAACGGGAGAAGUGCAGUUGAAACUACGGGGCUAGAGUGCGGAAGGGGAGAGUGGAACUUCUGGUGGAGCGGUGAAAUGCGUAGAUAUCAGAAGGAACACCGGUGGCGAAAGCGGUUCUCUGGUCCGUAACUGACGCUGAGGUGCGAAAGCCAGGGGAGCAAACGGGAUUAGAUACCCCGGUAGUCCCGGCCGUAAACGAUGGGCACUAAGUAGAGGGGUUUU
rnacentral:rRNA from 1 species